AGCUUUGCUAAAUGACAGCAUCCUUGCCAGUGAGGUUUAUCUGAGGCACGAUGAUUGCUAAUUGAAAACACCUGCAUGCCAGACAUUGCUAAAUCCCAGGGACACAAUAGUGUAUGGUUUAGAUACACUUCAAUCCCUUUUGUAUUUAUUCAUUCAUUCAUUUUUUAGAUUCCACAUAUGAGC
ensembl:snRNA U4 U4 spliceosomal RNA